CGCACAUUGCGCCCCUUGGUAUUCCGGGGGGCAUGCCUGUUCGAGCGUCAUUUCAACCCUCAAGCACUGCUUGGUAUUGGGCUUUUAUCUGUGAAAGGAUAAGCCUCAAAAUCAGUGGCGGCGCCGUUGGGUCCUGAACGUAGUAAUACUUUUCGUUACAGGUACCCCGCGUGCUUCUGCCAUUAAACCCCCAAUUUCUAUGGUUGACCUCGGAUCAGGUAGGGAUACCCGCUGAACUUAA
rnacentral:misc_RNA from 1 species